GAUGAACGCUGGCGGCGUGCCUAAUACAUGCCAGUCGAGCGAACAGACGAGGAGCUUGCUCCUCUGACGUUAGCGGCGGACGGGUGAGUAACACGUGGAUAACCUACCUAUAAGACUGGGAUAACUUCGGGAAACCGGAGCUAAUACCGGAUAACAUGUUGAACCGCAUGGUUCAACAGUGAAAGACGGUCUUGCUGUCACUUAUAGAUGGAUCCGCGCCGCAUUAGCUAGUUGGUAAGGUAACGGCUUACCAAGGCAACGAUGCAUAGCCGACCUGAGAGGGUGAUCGGCCACACUGGAACUGAGACACGGUCCAGACUCCUACGGGAGGCAGCAGUAGGGAAUCUUCCGCAAUGGGCGAAAGCCUGACGGAGCAACGCCGCGUGAGUGAUGAAGGUCUUCGGAUCGUAAAACUCUGUUAUUAGGGAAGAACAAAUGUGUAAGUAACUGUGCACAUCUUGACGGUACCUAAUCAGAAAGCCACGGCUAACUACGU
rnacentral:rRNA from 1 species